rnacentral:rRNA from 1 species
CAGCGAGNACAUAAGUAUUGGGGGUAAUGCCUGCCCAGUGACACUGUUAAACGGCCGCGGUAUCCUAACCGUGCAAAGGUAGCGUAAUCACUUGUCUUUUAAAUAAAGACUAGAAUGAAUGGCCAAACGAGGCUCUACCUGUCUCUUACAAAUAAUCAGUGAAAUUGAUCUCCCCGUGCAAAAGCGAGGAUAACACUAUAAGACGAGAAGACCCUGUGGAACUUCAAAUAUAAAAUCAACUAUCACCAACACCCACCCACGGGCCUUAUACCAAAUAGCACCUGAUUUUUAUUUUCGGUUGGGGCGACCUCGGAACAAAACAAAACCUCCGAAAAAUAAAAAACCCUUUAAACCUAGAACAACAGUUCAAAGUGCUUCCNGCAAAACGAUCCAAUACACUUGA